CGGGACACGUGGUAUCCUGUCUGAAUAUGGGGGGACCAUCCUCCAAGGCUAAAUACUCCUGACUGACCGAUAGUGAACCAGUACCGUGAGGGAAAGGCGAAAAGAACCCCGGCGAGGGGAGUGAAAAAGAACCUGAAACCGUGUACGUACAAGCAGUGGGAGCACGCUUCGGCGUGUGACUGCGUACCUUUUGUAUAAUGGGUCAGCGACUUAUAUUCUGUAGCAAGGUUAACCGAAUAGGGGAGCCGAAGGGAAACCGAGUCUUAACUGGGCGUUAAGUUGCAGGGUAUAGACCCGAAACCCGGUGAUCUAGCCAUGGGCAGGUUGAAGGUUGGGUAACACUAACUGGAGGACCGAACCGACUAAUGUUGAAAAAUUAGCGGAUGACUUGUGGCUGGGGGUGAAAGGCCAAUCAAACCGGGAGAUAGCUGGUUCUCCCCGAAAGCUAUUUAGGUAGCGCCUCGUGAAUUCAUCUCCGGGGGUAGAGCACUGUUUCGGCAAGGGGGUCAUCCCGACUUACCAACCCGAUGCAAACUGCGAAUACCGGAGAAUGUUAUCACGGGAGACACACGGCGGGUGCUAACGUCCGUCGUGAAGAGGGAAACAACCCAGACCGCCAGCUAAGGUCCCAAAGUCAUGGUUAAGUGGGAAACGAUGUGGGAAGGCCCAGACAGCCAGGAUGUUGGCUUAGAAGCAGCCAUCAUUUAAAGAAAGCGUAAUAGCUCACUGGUCGAGUCGGCCUGCGCGGAAGAUGUAACGGGGCUAAACCAUGCACCGAAGCUGCGGCAGCGACACUAUGUGUUGUUGGGUAGGGGAGCG
rnacentral:rRNA from 1 species